rnacentral:rRNA from 1 species
ACAUGCAAGUCGAGGGGAAACGAUAUUGGAAGCUUGCUUCCGAUAGGCGUCGACCGGCGCACGGGUGAGUAACGCGUAUCCAACCUGCCCACCACUUGGGGAUAACCUUGCGAAAGUAAGACUAAUACCCAAUGACGUCUCUAGAAGACAUCUGAAAGGGAUUAAAGAAUUUCGGUUAUCGAUGGGGAUGCGUUCCAUUAGCUUGUUGGCGGGGUAACGGCCCACCAAGGCAACGAUCAGUAGGGGUUCUGAGAGGAAGGUCCCCCACAUUGGAACUGAGACACGGUCCAAACUCC